GACGAACGCUGGCGGCGUGCCUAACACAUGCAAGUGGAGCGACGAACCAGGCUUCGGCCUGGGGCAGAGCCGCGAACGGGUGAGUAACACGUGGGUAACCUGCCCUGAUGAUUGGGACAACCCGAGGAAACUCGGGCUAAUACCAAAUGUGCCCUCCGACCAUAAGGUCGCUGGGGAAAGAGCUUCGGCCUCGCAUCGGGAUGGGCCCGCGGCCCAUUAGCUUGUUGGUGAGGUAAGGCUCACCAAGGCAACGAUGGGUAGCUGGUCU
rnacentral:rRNA from 1 species